rnacentral:lncRNA from 1 species
UAAGACUAGAGGCAGAGAUACUAGCUAAGAAGCUGUUGCAACAAUGAAAGAAGAAAUGAUGAGAACCUAAACUAAGGCAAUACUAAUAGAAGCAAAGAGAAGGGAAGAGAUUUCACAAGUUUAUAAGAAGAAAGUGGUAGGACUUGAAAGUUAAUUGGAUGUAAAGACCAAAGCAAGGGGCAGUCAAGGAUGGCUCCUGGAUUUCUGGCUUGAGAGACUAGGUGGAUGAAAGAGCAGGUAGAAUGAGAAAGAUGAUGCUUUCAGUUUGGGAUAGGUCAAGUUUUGGGUCCCUUAUAGGUCUUUCAGGGAGAAAUGUCUAGCAGGGAUUUGGAUAGAAAUGUCUGGCACUCAGGAGAAAUAGAGAUGAGAACACCAAAGACAGAAUAUAUGGUUCUUCUAGAAGAUCCACUUUCAAUUUUACUAAAGUGAAUGACCCACUUUGAUGAAAAGAAUAAUGACUUCUAAGGUCUCUUACAACUCUAAUGUUACAAUUCUAUUGUUCCAUCUGGAAUUGCCUUUUGAAGACAGCACACCUGUGGCCUAAAACUUCCUUGGUGAACAUGUGAAAUAUUUUUUAAUGAAAGCCCAUUACAUAUAAAGCCAUACAACCCCAAACAUGCAGUGAUAAUGCUUAUAGCAAAGAAAAACCAAGUAAAGACACUAUCUACAUUUACCUACUCUGAUCCCAAUUGGCUGCAAACAGCAAAAGAAUCUUCCUGCCGUAAUGGUCUCGGUUUUCCAGCACCCCGGGGAACCCAUCGAUCAGAGCCCUCUUAAUGCCGGGAUCAUCUGCCUUGAAGUUUUUGAACAUGUCCAGGUUUAGCUGGCGGUACUGGAAAUACUGAGCCAGGAGUCUAAAGGCAUCCGCUUGGUGAAACUUCCUGGCUCGGAGAAAUCUCAGGAUGAAGGCAUCAUCUGGAUCCUGCAAUAGACAGAAGAAAGAUAAUUCCCUGGGAAGUGCUGAGAUCCAUGUAACCGUGACCCUUCUUCUGGAUGUGAUUGCACAGACAAUGGCAGCAGUGGGAAUCACAGCUAAGAAAACUGCCUGGGAAAAGUAAAACACAUCAGCAAGCUUAAGGCUGGCAUCAAGACUUUUAUAUUGGAGGAGCCAAGAUGGCCGAAUAGGAACAGCUCCGGUCUACAGCUCCCAGCGUGAGCGACGCAGAAGAGGGUGAUUUCUGCAUUUCCAUCUGAGAAACCCCAAUUCCCACCAACUUCAGAUCUCCAUUCCUACCAACUUCAGCUCUGCUGGUAUGUGGACAUCAGAGAAGGGGGAACUGGAAACUGAACUCUGACCAUAUCAUUCUGUGUUCUAAAUGUCUUCCUGAGGGGCCUGGAGGAAGUUACACUCACAAGCCAGAGCUAACAUUCUUUUCUGCUGACCCCAAAUUUUAAAAUAAAGCUUCUCUUCCUUAACCAAUUGCAAUUCAAAAAAUCUUUGAAUCUGACUACGGUCUGUAAGCCUCCACUUCAAGAUAUCCUGCCCUUUUAGGGCGAAACCAAUGUGUAACCUUGAUGUAUUGAUUUACGAUUUUGCCUGUAACUUCUGCUUUCCUGAAAUUUACUCCUGCUGUUAAAAGACACUUACCUGUAAGCUACUGGGGAGGUCAGGACUCAAGCAUUAGCUGCUUGAUCCUCCUUGCUUGGCACCCUGAAAAUAAAUGCCUUCCAUUUUUCCCACUGCAAUCUUCGGUGUGCAUAUCUGGUAUUACUGCACCAGGUGAGCAGACCCCAUUUCAUAUCGUUAAACUCAGAGAAAGUUCCAAUUUGGAGCUAGAACAUUCAGCGUCUUCAAGCAUAUAGACGGCAUUUAACAUCGUG